GACAGAGGGUGCAAACGUUGCUCGGAAUCAUUGGGCGUAAAGGGUGCGUAGGCGGCGCGGUAAGUCGGGUGUGAAAUCUCGGAGCUUAACUCCGAAACUGCAUUCGAUACUGCCGUGCUUGAGGACUGGACAGGAGACUGGAAUUUACGGUGUAGCGGUGAAAUGCGUAGAUAUCGUAAGGAAGACCAGUGGCGAAGGCGGGUCUCUGGACAACAACUGACACUGAGGCACGAAAGCGUGGGGAGCAAACAGG
rnacentral:rRNA from 1 species